GAUGCCCACCUCUCAUCACAGGCCCAUGCUGGGGCCAUGCACACAGAUUACCUGGAAUGACUGGCCCACAGAACCCAUCAUUGGAUCACAGGCCCAUGCUGGGGCCAUGCGCACAGAUUACCUGGAAUGACUGGCCCACAGACUCCAUCACUUGGGGGUGUUUGAUGAGAGAGACAAAGUGAGAAGGCGAGUUAAAUACGUUUUGAUGAAGAUAGACAGAGCUUCACUCUUGUUGCCCAGGCUGCAGUACAAUGGUGCGAUCUCAGUUCACCACAACCUCCGCCUCCCGGGUUCAAGUGAUUCUCCUGCUUCAGCCUCCUGAGUAGCUGGGAUUACAGAGCCUGACUUUCUCAUCGAAACCAUGGCUGCUUGGACCCAGGCUCUCCCCAUGAGGUAAUAAAUGUGCAAGCACUUUGCAGGGAAAAUAAGUGCCUGACACCUGACAUAAA
rnacentral:lncRNA from 1 species